GCUGCCAGACCUCGCCAGUUCAGACCCACCAGACUGCCCUCCCCUGCGCACUCCUUCGCUGCCGGGGCUGGAUUGCCGCGCGGCUCCCCGCAGGGCAAUAAAGUCUGCGGCCACGUGACUGUACUGGUUUGCAGGUAUCUUUUGCUGAGCUGGGCACGGAACUUCAGCUAGAGAGAAUCACGAUGUUGCAAACAGUUUUCCUAACUAUGCUGACUCUGGCUCUGGUCAAGUCACAGGUCACGGAGGAAACCAUUACAUACACGGUAAGAGACUGACCACAGAUAUUGAUGAGUGUGACAUUGUACCAGAUGCUUGCAAAGGUGGAAUGAAAUGUGUCAACCACUAUGGAGGAUACCUCUGCCUUCCUAAAACAGCCCAAAUUAUUGUCAAUAACGAACAGCCUCAGCAAGAAACACCAGCUGCCGAAGCAUCGUCGGGUGCUGCCACUGGGACCAUAGCUGCCAGGAGCAUGGCUACCAGUGGUGUGAUCCCUGGGGGUGGCUUCAUAGCCAGUGCUACUGCAGUUGCUGGUCCUGAAGUUCAGACAGGCCGAAAUAACUUCGUCAUUCGGAGGAACCCGGCUGACCCUCAGCGCAUCCCUUCCAACCCUUCCCACCGGAUCCAGUGUGCAGCAGGCUAUGAACAGAGUGAGCAUAAUGUGUGCCAAG
rnacentral:lncRNA from 1 species